AUUGAACGCUGGCGGCAUGCCUUACACAUGCAAGUCGAACGGCAGCAUAGGAGCUUGCUCCUGAUGGCGAGUGGCGAACGGGUGAGUAAUAUAUCGGAACGUGCCCUAGAGUGGGGGAUAACUAGUCGAAAGACUAGCUAAUACCACAUACGAUCUACGGAUGAAAGUGGGGGAUCGCAAGACCUCAUGCUCCUGGAGCGGCCGAUAUCUGAUUAGCUAGUUGGUGGGGUAAAAGCUCACCAAGGCGACGAUCAGUAGCUGGUCUGAGAGGACGACCAGCCACACUGGGACUGAGACACGGCCCAGACUCCUACGGGAGGCAGCAGUGGGGAAUUUUGGACAAUGGGGGCAACCCUGAUCCAGCAAUGCCGCGUGAGUGAAGAAGGCUUUCGGGUUGUAAGGCUCUUUUGUCAGGGAAGAAACGGUUCUGGAUAAUACCUGGAGCUAAUGACGGUACCUGAAGAAUAAGCACCGGCUAACUACGUGCCAGCCGCCGCAGUAA
rnacentral:rRNA from 1 species